rnacentral:rRNA from 1 species
UACGUAGGGUGCGAGCGUUGUCCGGAAUUAUUGGGCGUAAAGGGCUCGUAGGCGGUCUGUCGCGUCGGGAGUGAAAAACUCAGGGCUUAACCCUGAGCCUGCUUCCGAUACGGGCAGACUAGAGGUAUGCAGGGGAGAACGGAAUUCCUGGUGUAGCGGUGGAAUGCGCAGAUAUCAGGAGGAACACCGGUGGCGAAGGCGACAUCCUGGACCGGUAUGACGCUGAGGCGCGAAAGCCAGGGGAGCAAACGGG